GCACAUUAUGGAAGUUAAUCAAAUAUGAUGAAAGUUUACUCUCCACCAUCUAAUCUACUACAUAAAAUUACAACUAAAUACUGAUUAAAUUUUUAACAUUUGCUUGUUAUUUGACCAACUUAACUAUGUUGUAUGAAAAGUUGAAAACUAUGAACCCUAUUCCUCUUCUGGAACACCUAUACUUAGUAUCCAAAACACCUCAAAGGCCCAAACCAAUCUGAACACAGCCCAAAUCCUAAAACCCUAAAAAAUAAUAAACCCUAAUUCUUCAUUCUCAGUGACUGAACCCUAUAACACUCCACCCUUCUCCAUCCGCAAUCACCCACCUUCCCACUCUCUCUCCUCCAUUUCUUUCCCUAAAAACGGCGACCUUUUCCAUUUCCAUUUCCAUUUCCAUUCUCUCAGUUCAACUUUUCAUGUCAUCCGUAUAAUUGAAGUUUCUCCUAUUAACGACGUCGUUUCAUUUUGCCAAAUCCAACGCCGGCCAUCUGAAGAAGGAAUUAGACUGCCGGAAAUCUGUGUUUGUUGGGAUUCUGAAUUAAUUAUGUUUGGCCUCUAAUGAUGAUCAAAAUAAUACUUUCGUUCUUCCGAGAUAUUCUCAUGCGGAAAAACUAUUGGAGACCUGAACUGAAGAGGCUUUUUUUUGGUGUGAUUAUAUGUUAAAAAUGACUGCAAAAUUUUUAGAAUCUCACAGUUGUGAGAAUACCGGACUGUAACCCCAAAUGUGUUAGUAAAUUAUUGGUGCGCUAAUAUCAUUAUUUGUACUUUAAAGUUCAUUUGUUCGAGGGCAAUAAGUGGGGGGAAAUUGUAGUCCCUGAAUUUGGUCGGUCUUUAUUAAGACUAAGAAAAAUAUUUGGUGGGAAUAUCUCUUAUGUUGAAGUACCAGGAGACAUGAAAUGAGAAUUUGAUUGCUGUAGUAUAUAGCUAGGUUUCGUCUUUUUUUGAUAUUGUGUGAUUAUUUUGGGCUUAAAGUGUAUUAUUACAUGGAGUUUGUAUGGUACAUUAAAGGAUUUGUGUAUUAUUGUCAAAUGCUAGCCUCUAAUGAUGAUCAAAACAUAACUUUCGUUCUUCCAAGAUUUAUCAUGCGGAAACUAUAUGGAGACCUGAACUGAAGAGGCAAUUAGUAGUUGUGUUUAUUGGAUUUGUAUUUCAUAAUGUUAUUCAGACUUUCAUCUUGAUGAGUAUGGGUAGUAAUUACAAUUAGGGUUAUGAAUUGGGAUGUGUUAACUAAAAAAAUGUAGUUCUCCAAGGAUGAUGGCAAUUGAAAAACUUUCUAAUAAUUUCUGUACUUGUAUGUUGGAAUAUAUUCUUGUUGGAAUAUAUUCUGGAUACAAACUGCGGAUGUAGUAGUUUGUAAACAUAUGCUGAUCUAUAUAUUUCAUUUUGGGGAUAGAGAGUUGGAUAUUUAUUAUAUUUUCCUGUUGGACUUAUGAGUGGAGAGUUUUGUGAUUUAUGUGCUUUAAGUAGAUCAUAGUGUAGUAGAAAAUGUGUGCCAAUCUAUACUAGUAGCCUCUAAUGAUGAUUGAAAACAUAACUUUUCGUUCUUCUGAGAAACUCAUGCGGAAAUUAUAUGGAGACCUGAACUGAAGAGGCUUUAGUAACUUUUGUUGAUUGGUUUAAGCUUUAUAUUUACUGUGAUCUUGAAGUGUACUGACGUUGUAAAGGUUAAUUAAGAUUUAUUGGUGCACGGGAGUGGUGAACUUGUUAAUAUAUAGAUAUGGAUUUAUUUGUUUAGCAGCUCACGAUUUUUUUUUAUUUGUCAAUUGAGGGAAAGGAUAUACAAAUGGGCAAGGAAAGGUAGGAACUCUUGAAUUGAAUUUAGUGUCUCCAAUGAUGAUGACAAGUUAAGUUCUGAUGUCUUCCCUGUAGAAAAAAUUUGGAGACCUGAACUGAGGAGGCUACAGUCAAUUUAUCAUAGUGAUAGGAAGUGGGGAUAGAUCGAUCGGUAAUUAGGUAAAUUGUGCAAGGAGUGACUAUAUUCGAAUUGCGGGCAUGCAGGGAGGUUGAUGGUUUUUAAUUGCAUGAAGUUGUGUGAUUGCUAGGAAAGGUUUCCUUUUGAUGUUAGCCUGUACCGAGGAGGCUUUAGUAGUUCUCUUUAUUAGUUUUUUUUUUUUUUGUUUCAAUCUGAGUGGCAUCUUGCUGAUAUGGACGGAAUGGUGGAAUAACUGUCUUUAUGAAUUGCUGUUUUAUGAAACUGAGAAUUUUUACGAGAAUUUGCGAGGUAUGUUGUUGUCUCUGAUGAUGUUAAAAAAAUAUGACCUUUUAUCUCCUGAGAUUUUCCGUGUUGAAAAAGUGUGAUAACUGAAGAGGCAACAGACCAACAGUGAACAGUCUUGAUAUGAUGAAUUAUUACAGUAUGUGCUUAUAUUCAGACCUAAAUGGUACUCCGUAGUAUAAUGUUUAUUUGCAGGUGAAUGGAUCUUUGGCUCAAAGAGCAAUGAGAGGCUUGAUGUCAAGAGGUUUUGCUAGGAUGGUGUCUCACACAUUCAGCGUGUAUCAGUAGGAGAUUUGCCUCUUUGCCAUCACUAGUAUGGUUUGUAAUGUUGCCAAGUGCUUUGAGUGAAUGAGUUGUCUCUUCAAGCACCGACCUGCAGAAUUAUUUUUGGCCUCCAAUCGUCAUUUUAGAUGGAUUCUCUGGUGAUUAUUGAAAUUGAAGUGGAUCUUCUUCCUUGCCAAGUUGCUUGCGAGUCAUUUAAAUGUCUUGCUUGUUCCUAUGGAAUGUAAAGCUGUAGGUAGUUGGUACCUUAAGUUUGCCGGUCUUUAAAUACACAGAGGGCUGAGAAAGUGUAGAAGUUUGGGAUUACAACAAUUGAACUUCUUCUUGUAUAUAGUGAAUGUCAAAAUGUAUAAAUUGAGAAACAAUUAAACAAUACUUCUUGUUUGCUUUAUUAGAUUUUGAUAAACUUAAUGAAUUAACAAUAACAUACUUUCUA